rnacentral:misc_RNA from 1 species
UCUCUCAACUUUUUUUUUUUUUUUAAAUUCUUGCAUUUUCACGCCUUUCCUCGCCUCGCCUAGGCCUCACCUGGUUGAAGUCGCCUCGCCUGGAGGCUUCCCAGGCGAGGUGCUUGGAUUUCGCCUUGCCCAGGCGCCUAGGCGAGAGCCUGAGCGACCAAGCGCCUGGUGACAACACUGUCUCUAAAAAUAUAUUGUUGUAAUGACUGAUAAAAAGUCUGGCCACGAAAUACACAAAUUAUUAUGUGCCUAAACUUAGCCUUAAAAAGAUCAUAGGAAAACAGUGUACUAGCAUGUGAAGCCAAUGUGGUCAACUUAGCCUUAAAAAGAUCAUAUGAAAGCAGUGUAUUAGCAUGUCAAGCCAAUGUGGUCCCAGGUGGCAACUAAGAACCAUAGUAAUAAGUAUACGGAGAGCAGAAGAAUAAAGUAAUGAUAGUUUCUGAAAGAGAACAAUAAUACUUUUAGAGGCAAUAGGCCUAUGAUGAUCCUAGAAGGCAACAACUAAAAAUAAGUUUUGAAACAUAAAAUAUGCAGUUGAUGCACAACCCUAAACCUUAUAUGCAGGAGAUAACUAGUAGCUAAGACUUACCUGUAUUAGGCGUUCACGAAGA